GAAAAGAAAGCCAACCUCCUCCGGUGGAAGCUGAAACUUAAAGAGCCGCUGAAACGGAGCGGCAGAAAUCACUACCUCUCCAAUCCCAGGCCUCUCCGGAUGCCCCAACCCCAGAGGAGGGAGGGAGCUCCCGUUUCUAAAAAGACACCCGAGGACCGGGCCCUGCCUUCUAAGUGACGCCGACCAGCCCGCCGCCUCCUCCUGCGCUCCCCACCGCCCCCC